GUCGGCGCAAGGGGACAUCAGUAGUGUGGACAAAAGUUCUGUGAAUGCGCCUGGUGCAGAAAAAGAAGGAAGGAGUCAACACCACAGGCAGCACUCGGAGAAGGAGGAUCGAGGAGGUCAAAGUACAUUUAUAGCCGCACGCCGCGCUAUACAUAACGUCGUCACGCGGACGAUACCGCGAAAAACUUGAGCUUUGGAAACAGCACCCGCCGUCAAUCAAAAUGGCACCCGAGCGCCUGACCGCCGACGGCCAAGAUGGCGUGAUAAGGAAAACACCAUCUGAGUGACAGGGGAAAAUUGAAUUUAGCCAGAAUGCUACUCUGGCGAAGCAGAACGAGCCUAUCUUUCUAACCCACUGAGAUAUGAAGCAGAAGUUGGUGACAUUUGGGACAACCAGUACCCUGGGGAGAAGAGCCUUGGUGAGAGAGGUAAAGAAGAACCCAAAGAUCACUGUGACUGAGCUCCAGAGAUGCAGAUGGGAGAUGGGAGAAAGUUCUAGAAAGUUAACCAUCACUGCAGCCGUCCACCAGUCGGGGAUUUACGGCAGAGUGGACCGACGGAAGCCUCUCCUCAGUGCAACACACAUGAAAGCCCGCAUGGAGUUCGCUAAAAAAAAAACACCUGAAGGACUCCAAGAUGGUGAGAAAUAAGAUUCUCUGCUCUGAUGAGACAAAGAUAGAAGUUUUUGGCCUUAAUUCUAAGCGGUAUGCAUGGAAAAAACCAGGCACUGCUCAUCACCUGUUCAAUACAGUCCCAACAGUGAAGCAUGGUGGUGGCAGCAUCGCGCUGUGGGGGUGUUUUUCAGCUGCAGGGACAGGACGACUGGUUGCAAUCGAAGGGAAGAUGAAUGCGGCCAAGUACAGGGAUUUCCUGGAUGAAAACCUUCUCCAGAGUGCUCAGGACCUCAGACUGGGCCGAAGGUUCACCUUCCAACAAGACACAGCAGACAGCUAAAAUAACAAAUGAGUGGCUUCAGCGCAACUCCCUGACUGUUCUUGAAAGGCCCAGCCAGAGCCCCUGACUUAAACCCAAGUGAGAAAAUGGCUGUCCACCAAUGUUCACCAUCCAACCUGACAGAAUUGGAGAGGAUCUGCAAGGAGGAAAGGUAGAGGAUCCCCAAAUCUAGGUGUGAAAAGGAUCUGAAUAUCACUAUCACUGGAUCUGAAUCACUAUCACAGGAUCACUAUCACUAUCACUAUCACAGGAUCUGAAUAUCACUAUCACUAAAUAUCACUAAAUAUCACACAAGGCGUAAGCCUUGUGUGAUAUUUCAGUUUUUCUUUUUUAAUCUGCAAAAAUUUCAACAAUUCUGUUUUUUUCUGUCAAUAUGGGGUGCUAUGUGUACAUUGAGGGGCUUAAAUGAUUUUAGAAAACGGGUGCAAUAUACGACCCAGGACGCGCUGGAGAGACUACAUCCUUCGGCUGGCCUGGGAACGCCUCGGGAUCCCCCCGGAAGAGCUGGAUGAAGUGGCUGGGGAGAGGGUAGUCUGGGCGUCCCUGCUGAAGCUACUGCCCCCGCGACCCGACCCGGAUAGCUGGGAUAGUCUCCAGCGCGCCCGCGACCCGAGUGAGGAUAAGUGGUACGGAAAAUGAAUGAAUGAAUAUUUGUUUUAUACAAUGGUGCCUUGACUUACGAGUAGAAUUAGUUCUGUGACCAUGCUUGCUAGGUUGGGCGCUAUGGCCUUAAAAUUCUUGAUUUUGUUUUGAAAAAUAAUCUGAUUUGUGAUUUAAAUACAUUUUUCCUCCCUUCAAUAAGAAGUAGUACAUGGCAAUAGCAUUUUUCAAAACUUCGCGCAUUAACUCUAUCAGUUGAGUUAUGGAAAAGAUUCUGGUCUGUAAAUACUUUAAACUAGGGUGGCAACUAACAAUUAUUGUAUUAAUCAAGUAAUCUGUCGAUUAUUUUUAAUGAAUCUGAUUCAGGGUGUAGCCCGCCUCUCGCCCGAAGAUAGCUGGGAUAGGCUCCAGCACGCCCGCGACCCUAGUGAGGAUAAGCGGUACAGAAAAUUGAUGGAUGAUGCAGUUGCUGGUUUGACCCAUAUUAGUCACAAAAGGGCGGCACGGUGGCCGACUGGUUAGAGCGUCUGCCUCACAGUUCUGAGGUGUGGAGUUUGCAUGUUCUCCCCGUUCCUGCGUGGGUUUUCUCCGGGCACUCCGGUUUCCUCCCACAUCCCAAAAACAUGCAUCGUAGGUUAAUUGACAACUCUUAAUUGCCCGUAUGUGUGAAUGUGAGUGUGAAUGGUUGUUUGUUUAUAUGUGCCGUGCGAGUGGCUGGCAACCAGUUUAGGGUGUACCCCGCCUCCUGCCCGAUGACAGUUGGGAUAGGCUCCAGCACGCCCCCUAGUGAGGAGAAGCCGCUUUUGAUUUUGAUUACAGAAAUCUGAGAAUAUUUCCUGUCAAGAGGCUGAAUCAGAGGAUUUGGACCAUAUGAAGUUAAACAAGGUUUCUAAACAAUUAAUUGAUGAUCAAAAUAGUUGUCGAUUAAUUUGACAAUUUAACUAUUUGUCGAUUAAUCAAUUAAUUGUUGCAGUAGUACUUUAACCCCAGUAAAAUAUAAUUUACAAUUGAUCUGCUGUAUAUAUUUCAGGAUGAAAUCACUGUAAAAGACAGUCAUUUAAAGUGAGAACAAA